UACAAUGAACUCUAACCCAACAGCGACCUCUGCUGCUUCUUUCGGAAACUGCAACAGCAACCACCACCCUGGUUUACACAUGCGCAGUAGUCCAGGAAGUAUUUGUUAUUGUUCGUUUCAGACGCAGCAAGAACGUUACAAUAGCUAAAAUGGCUCCAAAAUGGACCUCUGGAUGUCAAGCAGCUCAGAAAAGAAGAGCUCUGACGCUGGAAGAGAGGGUAAAAGUCAUCAAAAUGAAAGACGGAGGAAGAAAAAUUAAAGACAUUAUCCAAGAAAUUGAUGUACCUGCAAGUGAAUGCUGAUCGUAAAUCUCGCAAUUUCUUCCUUUUUCACAAAUGGAUAGAAAAUUCGAAUGUUGCUUUACAACAUAACCAAAAAAAUGUACCAGAUUUUUGGGUGUAUUUUUAUUCGUUUUGUGUCAUGAAUUUAUUAACUGUAUACAGUAUAGUAGUCAUAUUAUUACAGUACUGUUAUGCUACAGGUGCAUUUUAUAUAAAUUUGAAAACAAAUGAGAGAUUACAAAACUACUGGUUACUCUAAAAUGGUUCAAUGAUUUUGUUGUUUACGAUGAUACUAGUGCAGCGUGUUAUACCGGAGACAAAUUCCUUGUGUGUUCUACAUACUUGGCCAAUAAAGAUGAUUCUGAUUCUGAUUCUGAAACUUCCUUUUUUAUAUUUUAGGCUGGCCAGAAAUCGAUCUAUGCCAUUCUGAAGGACAGAGAGAACAUUCUGGAACUCUGGAAUUCAGGAAAAGUGAACAGCAAAAGGAAGAUAUUGACUGCAGCAAGGCAGAAGUAUCCCGAAAUAAACCAGGAGACUUGGGAGUGGUUUGCCAAGAAAAGAGCAUCCGACAAUGUAAUAACAGGCCUUAUGAUACAGGAGCAAGCUAGGAUAAUUGCUCUCAGGUAAAGGCAUCACAGAUUUUGAAGGAUCAAAUGGUUGAUUAAGAACAUUCUCAACUCAACUGUAUUUAUAGAG